GGACAGUGUUACCCAGUCUCCUUCUGUCUCUUGGUCUCUCCCAACAGAGGCUGAAAAACCAAAUCCUGUUGAAUCUCCCUUGCACACGGUGGGGAGCCAUGCCAUCCAGUUCUGGACUAUAUAACACUAUUCUUACAGGAUUUUGCUGUCAAGAUUAUGCUGGCCUUAAAAAAUAAGCUGACUAUCAUUGUCUGCUCUCUGGAAGUAUUUGGCACAUCAGCUUUUUCCUGCCUUCGGACUUGCACUGAAACACUGGCUACUCCUGGGUCUCAAGCCUGCCUGCUUUCAGACUGGAACCAUAUUAUCAAGUAUAACAUUGGCUCUCCUGGGCCUCCUGCUUGCUAACUCACCGUGCAAAUCUUGGGAUGUGCCGGCCUCCAUAAUAUAUAGAUAGAUAUGUCCUAUUAGUCCUAUUUCUCUGAGGAACCCUGACUUAUACAAUUGGAUAUAGGAAUAUUCAGAUAUUCUAUUUCUUUCAGCAUCAUUGUUGACAGGUUGCGUUUUUCUAUCAAUUUGCCCAUCUUAUUUGAUUUUUCAACUUAUUGGCAAAAACUUAAUAAUACUAUCUUAUGUGUUUGUAACAACAACUGUAGUGAUGUUCCCAUUUUACAAGUAUUAUUAGAAAUCCUCUCUCUCUGGCUGGGUGUGGUCAGAUAAUUAUCUAUUACAGGCUCAGGCCUAUAAUCCCAACACAUUGGGAGGCUGAGAUAGGUGGAUUACUUGAGCCCAGGAGUUCGAGACCAGCCUGAGCAACAUGCCAAAACCCUGUCUCUGUGAAAAAUACAAAAAAUUAGCCAAAGGUGGUGCCUGGUGCCUGUAGUUCAAACUACCUAGGUGGCUGAGAUGGGAGAGUCACCUGAGCCUGGGAGGCUGAGGCUGCAGUGAGCUGUGAUUGUGCCACUGCACUCAAGCCUGGGCAACAGAGUAAGACUCCGUCUCAAAAAAAAAAAAAUCUUCUUUCUCUAGCUCUAUAUGCUCAGUCUUUCCAGAGGUUUAGCCUUCUUAUUAACUAUUUAAAAU
rnacentral:lncRNA from 1 species